GCGGGAGUAGCUCAGGGGCUAGAGCACCACCUUGCCAAGGUGGGGGUCGCGGGUUCGAAUCCCGUCUCCCGCU
rnacentral:tRNA from 1 species